CCUGCCCAAUGAUUAUAUAAUUAAAUGGCCGCAGUAUUUUGACUGUGCAAAGGUAGCGUAAUCAUUAGUUUUUUAAUUGAAAGCUUGUAUGAAUGGUUGGACGAGGUAAAUACUGUCUUUAUUUAAUUUAAUUUAGAAUUUAACUUUUGAGUGAAAAGGCUUAAAUUUUAUUAAUAGACGAAAAGACCCUGUAGAUCUUUAUAAGUUAGUAAUUAAUUGUCUUAGGAUUAUUUAUUGAUUAAUUAUAAACCUUAUUUUAUUGGGGUAAUAUGAAGAUUCAAUGAAUUCUUUGAUUUACGAACAGGGAUAACUGGUUAAUUGAUCCAUCAUUAUUGAUUGUAAGAUUAAGUUACCUUAGGGAUAACAGCGUAAUUUUUUUGGAGAGUUCAUAUCGAUAAAAAAGUUUGCGACCUCGAUGUUGGAUUAAAAAUUAUUCUGGGUGUAGAAUUUCAGAAAUUUGGUCUGUUCG
rnacentral:rRNA from 1 species